AUGAGCAGGUCCGCACCCGGGAUCCAAACCCAUGAACAUGGGAUGCAGAAUCCGAGUAUGUGGAACUUUAACCCCUUGGCCAUGGGGCCAGCCCUCCCAGUUUUAGUUUUUAAGCACAUUCGUCCCAGUGCCGAAGUGAACAGAAAGAACAAUGGUUUCUACAUUAUUUCACGAGGAGGAAUUGGACGUCCUCUCAAGUACGUCUUCUUAAAGGCACAUUGCAGAGCUGAGAGCCUGAAACCACUCAACUCCCAGGCUGAUAUUGUGGAGACUCAAGCUGAUGCAAGAACGGAAGGUGCUGUCGCCGGAGCGGGGCUGCUGGAAGGAAGACAGGCAGCUGCGUCCAGCGCGCCCGACCACGGCGUCAGCCCGCUGCCCGUGGUUCUCCCGCGAGGCGGCGUGUGGAAGUGCGAACGCUUCUAAAUAG
rnacentral:lncRNA from 1 species